UCUCUCCUCGCCGUCUCCUCAGCCAUUCACCCUGCGCCCGCUGACGUGAUGUGACGGGUCUCCGGUUGUGUUGCAGCGGUGAGGUGGUGUUGCAUCUUUUCUCAGCGGGCGUGUUGUGGUGGAGUGCGGUGUGAAGGGAGAGGUGGAUAGGAGAUAAUUGGUGGGCUGUGUGUGGUGAGUGCCACAUUGUCUGUGAGGGACCCCCAGAGCCACACAGCACCAGCUGCAACAGCUACAGCAGCAGCAGCAACAGCAGCAGCAGCAGCAGGAGGAGGAGGAAAUGGCAUCCACCUUCUACCUCACCCAGUGUCACCGGGGCCUCCUCCUCCAGCAGCUGGCCAGGGUGCAGGGACAGGAUGAGCAAGCAGGUGGUGACAGAGAGGGUGGCCAGCUUGUCCUUCCCUCCUGCCACCCAGCCACAGCACUGGCAGUUGCUGCAGUGAGACUGCCCAGGCACAAGUUUGUGCACGUGUCCAGGACGUGAAGGUGAUGGGAACGUGUCCUG